AGAGGUAGAGGCGCGAUUAUUAAGAGUAGUUUUAUGGAGUAGAAGUGCUAAGAUGUAAAAUGAAAGGAAGAAUCGCCGAAGUUAUAUAAAUAUACUUUAAGUUUAUAUUGCUGGGUCUGUAUAGAAUAUAUGCAGGACUGUCACGUAUGUGGAGAGCUAUC
rnacentral:ncRNA from 1 species